AUGCACGCUGGCGGCGUGCCUCAUCCAUGCAAGUCGCGCGAACGGACGAGAAGCUUGCUUCUCUGAUGUUAGCGGCGGACGGGUGAGUAACACGUGGAUAACCUACCUAUAAGACUGGGAUAACUUCGGGAAACCGGAGCUAAUACCGGAUAAUAUUUUGAACCGCAUGGUUCAAAAGUGAAAGACGGUCUUGCUGUCACUUAUAGAUGGAUCCGCGCUGCAUUAGCUAGUUGGUAAGGUAACGGCUUACCAAGGCAACGAUGCAUAGCCGACCUGAGAGGGUGAUCGGCCACACUGGAACUGAGACACGGUCCAGACUCCUACGGGAGGCAGCAGUAGGGAAUCUUCCGCAAUGGGCGAAAGCCUGACGGAGCAACGCCGCGUGAGUGAUGAAGGUCUUCGGAUCGUAAAACUCUGUUAUUAGUGAAGAACAUAUGUGUAAGUAACUGUGCACAUCUUGACGGUACCUAAUCAGAAAGCCACGGCUAACUACGUG
rnacentral:rRNA from 1 species